AAAGCCCAAAAGGAGUUUGUCAG
rnacentral:piRNA from 1 species